ACUUGCACCAACAUAACCUCAACUUCCCAGUUCAGCCGAUGUACUCACUGCUGCGAUUCAAAGUUAUGUAACAAUAAAGCGUGUGGUGAACCGGGAUACCCUGCCGACAGAGGCCUUAUUUGCUACAGCUGCCGUGAUCCGGUACCAGCCGGCAGAUGUCACAAUAUUGACUUUUGUAGGAAGGGAGAGGAAUGUAGCGUUGAAGGAAAACAGCUCUUUGGAACGACCGUUUUCACCUCUCGGUGCCAAAAUACUUUUGCUUGUGAGACUCACCAUUCUGGUGGUGUACUGGUCGGUAAGCGAGACUAUUUCAAAGAAAGAUCUUACGACGUCCAUGACUGUGACUCGUGCUGUAACGCCGACCUUUGCAAUCAGCAAUGCUUC